UUUUGCCUUUCAGGAGCAUGGGAAAAGGCCCAACUUUAUAAGCGAAUCAAGGUUUCGAUGCUUCAUCCAUCCAUGGCUGCCUAUAUAGAUCGCCUCCUUCCUCACCCUUCCUCUUCUCACUCCACUCUCCUUCUCCUUUACCCCGUCAAAAUUGCGAACAAAGUUCGAAUCUUUGAGCGACCAUCUGCCUCUUCCAGUCUCUUCGCUUCUCCCGUCAAUUCAGGCCGCAUCGACGCCAACCUAGAGUUUUAGGACACUGGGUGAGUACGUCCUCUACUGGAAGCUCGCAUUGUUUUACCACUGUUUGGAUCCUGUUGCUUCUUUCUCCUAAUUUUGAGUUCAGGAGAUAAAUUUGCGAGAUGAUGGCCAAAUCGUGGAUGGAAGUUCUUCCUCCAGCGUCGGCACUGUGCUUCCCCUGCACAAGUUGCUUCCUUGUCGAGGGGAGGAAUUGGGGCGGGCUCUCGAAUGGAAACUGGACCCGGGAAGAGAACAAGCUUUUCGAGAAAGCCCUGGCCGAGUUCGACAAGGACACACCUGACCGCUGGGAAAAAGUGGCGGUGUAUAUCCCAGGCAAGUCCACAACGGACGUGGAGAGACACUACAGGGAUUUGUUGAAGGAUGUGAGCGAGAUAGAAGCUGGGCGGUUUCACUGUCCUAGCUACGACUCUUCUUCUUUUGCACUGGACUGGGACAGCAAUUGCGACUUCAAAGCUGUCAAGCAACUUUAUUCAAUCAGCAGGAGGAAGUCAGGGGUGCAUAUCAGCGGGAAGAAGUCAGGGCUGCACGCGGCAGUUCAGGAGAGGAAAAAAGGAGUCCCUUGGACUGAAGAGGAGCACAAGCUAUUCUUGCUUGGACUUAAAAUGUAUGGCAAAGGGGAUUGGCGAAAUAUUUCCCAUAAUUUUGUGGUUACCAGGACACCUACUCAGGUAGCUAGUCAUGCCCAAAAGUACUUCAUCCGGUUACAUUCAGGUAGCAAAGAUAAGAGGAGAGCCAGCAUACAUGAUAUUACUACCGCCAAUUUACCAGAUAACAGACCUUCCUCUCCAUCUCAGUCAUCUUCCCUUCGCAAUCCGUUAAGCUCAACUUCUACACCCAUGUUGCCAAGUUCCUACUCAUCUAUCCUAGACAUAAAUCAGCCCCAUCAAGUAAUUGGUUUUUUAGGUGCAUCAAUGCAAAUGAGACGAUCACUUGGUGGAGUAAGUCCUUAUCAGAUGGCAACUGAAGCCCAUGCAUCUCCAAAUGGAACUUUUCACGAUCCUAUGGUGCACGACAAUAAUCUGCUACACCAAAUGAUACCAAACCAUAUUCACCUACAUGAUUGAGAUUAUUUGUAUACAAGGAUCAAAUGUACAUGUUCACUUGGGAUAAAGUGAGGGCAACUGCAUCCUGGAAUUGGGAAGAUGCAAAUGAAUGCUGAGUUUUUUUACCCCAUAAUCUAGGGAGAGUUCAUGGAUGUUCAUUUCUCCUCACAUCAUAUGCUUCUGACUCUUUACAAAAUCAGGUGCAAGCUUGUAUGCAAUCUAUCUUGCACUGCCUGAGAUCAAUCAAUACUCAGAAGUACUUCAGGGACAGUUUCGUUACAAAUUAAGUUUGUUGGAAGGUGAAAGAGAUGGACAAUGUGCUAGAGUUACAAAAUGGUAUCAUUUCAGGGUGAAACUUUUGUCAUGACAAGAAACAGUUGCACUGGGGAUCAGAAACAGACAGAAUUGUCAUUCUCUUCAAGACUUACAGACCUUGUGUAACCUUGGAAGAUAAUCAUAGGAAGUUUAAGAUGAUCGUAAGCAGUUCUGAAGUUGCAGAAAUUGUUCCGUCCAGCUGUGGAUGGAAAGCGCCUACCGCAAGCAAAUGAGAAAGAUGUGUCUUUUUCAUCAUAAUUGUUGUCAUCAUCGAGCCUAUUAGUUUCAACUAUUUGGAGCCAGCUACAAUUCUAUUCUUCCAUUGAACCAGGAUGGACUUUGAAGGACAUCUGGGUUAGUGUAAUUACUUUUUGCUAUAAUUGUAUGAUAACUAGCUGCUAUCGAUCCCCGGCUACGGUGCAUUUGCAAGGAUUUUUUCUCCAAAUGGGGCGCACAAUCACCGAAUACUGGGAUUUUAGGUUGCCUGCCACGAGUGCUUUCCGAUUUACUCUGACGGGCGGUGGUGGGAACUUUCAGUGUUACCUGGUUCAUCAUUUUUUUGCUUCCACUGUUGCUAUUGCUGAAACAAGCAUUGAUGCCAUGGCUGCAACUACGAGCAACUGUUAGUGUCCGAAACCUCUGGCCCCACAACCUGGGAAGCAAAUGUAGAAGAAUCAAGGCAGCAACAGCGGCAAAUGGACAUACUCAAGAGCACUUGUGCAAGGUAGGUGACAUCACACUGCACCUUCACUUGGCAACGUACUGGAAACCUUUCUGCAAGUGAAGUUUUUCUCAACUGUUCCAAGGGUUAGAAUCAACACUGAUCAUCGAGUGACCCCCCACCAAAUUCUUCCGGUGAUGUCACUUCUUGGAGAAAAACGACUAGACUAGCAACGUCGCCAUCACUGAUUUUCAAGGAGACUAAUGAUUUGCAAUUCCUGCCUAGUAGCUCAAGGUCCUGGGGUGUAACUCAGAAAUCUGUCAUGUAGAAAUUUGAGCUUUCUUCCAAGAAUAAUGUUGUGACUUGUGAGGUUUCUGCAAAUUACAAAUGAGAAUCAGUAACCAGCAGGAAGAUCAUUAUGAAACAAGCAAUAUGGGUGAAAGUUGUAGUGAAUUACAUAGUAAAAGAGCCUUGGCUUUGCAACUUUCAUCAGAUUAGCUAUAUUGAACGUAAAGAUGCUUUGAUCUGCCAAAUUUUGCA